rnacentral:misc_RNA from 1 species
GUCGAAAUCUUCAACCAAGCAAACCUGUAAUCCGCGUUUGAGACUUUCUGCGAAAUUUCAGAUCUCGUGUGAGCGAGUACCGAUUUAGUAAAUAAUCAAGAUGAGCAGACCCCAGGAACCACACCGCCCUUUCUUCUCAUUCGGGAAUCCUUUCCGCAUGAUAUCACCAAAGGGCUCUCAAUUGUCCCCAAGGCUUCUUUCCUUAUUGAAUGCCUUUGAGGAAACCUUGGCAGAGAGGUUGAG